rnacentral:rRNA from 1 species
CCUACGGGGGGCAGCAGUGGGGAAUAUUGGACAAUGGGCGAAAGCCUGAUCCAGCCAUGCCGCGUGUGUGAAGAAGGCCUUCGGGUUGUAAAGCACUUUCAGUGGGGAAGAAAGCCUUGGGGCUAAUACCCUCGAGGAAGGACAUCACCCACAGAAGAAGCACCGGCUAACUCCGUGCCAGCAGCCGCGGUAAUACGGAGGGUGCGAGCGUUAAUCGGAAUUACUGGGCGUAAAGCGCGCGUAGGCGGUCUGAUAAGCCGGUUGUGAAAGCCCCGGGCUCAACCUGGGAACGGCAUCCGGAACUGUCAGGCUAGAGUGCAAGAGAGGAAGGUAGAAUUCCCGGUGUAGCGGUGAAAUGCGUAGAGAUCGGGAGGAAUACCAGUGGCGAAGGCGGCCUUCUGGACUGACACUGACGCUGAGGUGCGAAAGCGUGGGUAGCAAACAGGAUUAGAUACCCCAGUAGUC